rnacentral:rRNA from 1 species
GAAUUGACGGGGCCGCACAAGCGGUGGAGUAUGUGGUUUAAUUCGAUGCAACGCGAAGAACCUUACCUGGUCUUGACAUCCCGGAGACCCUUAGGAAACUAGGGGGUGCUUCCAUCUGGAAGAAUCUGGAGACAGGUGCUGCAUGGCUGUCGUCAGCUCGUGUCGUGAGAUGUUGGGUUAAGUCCCGCAACGAGCGCAACCCUUGCCUUUAGUUGCCAGCAGUUCGGCUGGGCACUCUAAAGGGACUGCCGGUGUUAAACCGGAGGAAGGUGGGGAUGACGUCAAGUCCUCAUGGCCUUUAUGACCAGGGCUACACACGUACUACAAUGGCCGAUACAAAGGGCAGCGACACUGCGAGGUGAAGCCAAUCCCGUAAAAUCGGUCUCAGUCCGGAUUGGAGUCUGCAACUCGACUCCAUGAAGUUGGAAUCGCUAGUAAUCGUGGAUCAGCAUGCCACGGUGAAUACGUUCCCGGGCCUU